GAUGAAGAACGUAGCGAAAUGCGAUAAGUAAUGUGAAUUGCAGAAUUCAGUGAAUCAUCGAAUCUUUGAACGCACAUUGCGCCCGCCAGCAUUCUGGCGGGCAUGCCUGUUCGAGCGUCAUUUCAACCCUCGAGCCCCCCCGGGGGCCUCGGUGUUGGGGGACGGCACACCAGCCGCCCCCGAAAUGCAGUGGCGACCCCGCCGCAGCCUCCCCUGCGUAGUAGCACACACCUCGCACCGGAGCGCGGAGGCGGUCACGCCGUAAAACGCCCAACUUUCUUAGAGUUGACCUCGGAUCAGGUAGGAAUACCCGCUGAACUUAAGCAUAUCAAUAAGCGGAGG
rnacentral:misc_RNA from 1 species